CUAGUAACUGCGAGUGAAGCGGGAAAAGCUCAAAUUUAAAAUCUGGUAGUCUUUGGCUGCCCGAGUUGUAAUCUAGAGAAGUGCUAUCCGCGCUGGACCGUGUACAAGUCUCCUGGAACGGAGCGUCAUAGAGGGUGAGAAUCCCGUCUUUGACACGGACUACCAGGGCUUUGUGAUGCGCUCUCAAAGAGUCRAGUUGUUUGGGAAUGCAGCUCUAAAUGGGUGGUAAAUUCCAUCUAAAGCUAAAUAUUGGCGAGAGACCGAUAGCGAACAAGUACCGUGAGGGAAAGAUGAAAAGAACUUUGGAAAGAGAGUUAAACAGUACGUGAAAUUGUUGAAAGGGAAACGCUUGAAGUCAGUCGCGUUGUCCAUGGGAUCAGCCUUGCUUUUUGCUUGGUGUACUUCCUGGAUGACGGGUCAGCAUCAAUUUUGACCGGUGGAUAAAGGUCAAGGGAAUGUGGCAUCUUCGGAUGUGUUAUAGCCUUUGGUUGCAUACAUCGGUUGGGAUUGAGGAACUCAGCACGCCGCAAGGCCGGGUUUUUAACCACGUACGUGCUUAGGAUGCUGGCAUAAUGGCUUUAAUCGACCCGUCUUGAAACACGGACCAAGGAGUCUAACAUGCCUGCGAGUGUUUGGGUGGAAAACUCGGACGCGCAAUGAAAGUGAAAGUUGAGAUCCCUGUCGUGGGGAGCAUCGACGCCCGGACCAGACCUUUUGUGACGGUCCCGCGGUAGAGCAUGUAUGUUGGGACCCGAAAGAUGGUGAACUAUGCCUGAAUAGGGUGAAGCCAGAGGAAACUCUGGUGGAGGCUSGUAGCGAUUCUGACGUGCAAAUCGAUCGUCGAAUUUGGGUAUAGGGGCGAA
rnacentral:rRNA from 1 species